GUGAAUCAUCAAAUCUUUGAACGCAAAUUGCACUCUCUGGUAUUCCGGAGAGUAUGCCUGUUUGAGGGUCAGUUUAAAUAAAAAUGGGGGUGGGUGCUGCGGGUGGUGGUGAGGCACCGGAGUUGGGUCGUCUUGCCAUGGGAUAAGUGACCUAAAAUUUUGCAUGAUUUUUUUCGAACGGAAUAAAAUGAUUUUACGUAGGUUUGCGAGAUCGAAUACUAGGUGUGGGCAUGUGAAUGAUGUGCGGCG
rnacentral:misc_RNA from 1 species